AGGAUAAUAGUUACGCUGAACGGUGCCCACUGGUCACCCUAUAAAUAGUGCUCUUGUGUGUAGUAAUAUUGUAGUUCUAACACAUGUCUAAAAAUAGAAAGCUUAAAAUAGACAAUUCAUCUUUCUAUUUAGCAAUACACCAUAGAGCCUGUCACCGUCUGUAUUAUCUGAUAAUGUUAGCUGUCAUAAAAGAAAGAAGUAAAGCAUUUUUGGAAACUAUAUGGGAUUCAUGGAAAGGAAAUGCUGACGAAAAGUUUGGUACGGUGUAUGGGAAUGUUCUUUACGUAUCGGAUUUAAUGAG